UACGGAGGGUGCGAGCGUUGUUCGGAAUCACUGGGCGUAAAGGGCGUGUAGGCGGUCCGCUAAGUCUGAUGUGAAAGCCCGGGGCUCACCCCCCGGAAGGGCAUUGGAAACUGACGGACUCGAGUCCCGAAGAGGAAGGUGGAAUUCCUGGUGUAGCGGUGAAAUGCGUAGAUAUCAGGAGGAACACCGGUGGCGAAGGCGGCCCUCUGGACGGUGACUGACGCUGAGACGCGAAAGCGUGGGGAGCAAACAGG
rnacentral:rRNA from 1 species